AUUAGCACUUAUAGUUUGUAAAUGGCACCCAGAAUUAUGUUGCACGAAGCACAAUUUCACAUCAUUCUGGGUCCAUUUGUGUGAAAACAAGGUCCAAUCUGGCUGAAACGUUACAAGAAGGUAGAAUCUAUUGAGUUGUAAGUGAUCUGAACGUUUCAUGAUUAUCUCACAUUCCCAUAGUGGGUCAAACCAUGUCCUAAAGGUCACCGGGCCUGGUGUCACUUUAAAGAGCGGGUCAAUUGAGCCUCGGAGUCCUUCUCCACCCACGUAUCAAUUUUAAAAAAUGCAACAUUAGUAGGCGUUGCCUGGAGGACCGAGAGGGCGGAGCCGCGGCAGUGACGAAGACGAUGGCUAACUAGACGAAGCUAGCUCCCUUCACUCUGAGCAGUUGAUAGAAGUGGAGGACGUUUCUCCCCCUCCUUACAGACACUCGAGAAGAAAGGGACCAAGUCUAUUUGGAGGAGACAAGCGGACCUGAGUCUUAUUGUUUUGAGCUUGUGAGUUGCCUGAAACUCCCAGAACCGACCCAACAGAAUCACCUCUGAAAGGUCCUCUGGUGUCUGCAGCUGGUCUCUGGUGUCUGCAGGUGGUCUCCUCUGCUGGUGCCAUCAGGAUCAGGAGCUUCCAGAAGAAUGUGCCUUUCAAUGACUCUUUCCCCCUUAUUUGUUAUAUUAAUUAAAUAAAUCUCAAUUUAUA